UACGGGGGGGGUAAGCGUUGUCCGGAAUUAUUGGGCGUAAAGAGCUCGUAGGCGGUCUGUUGCGUCGGCUGUGAAAACCCGGGGCUCAACUCCGGGCCUGCAGCCGAUACGGGCAGACUAGAGUUCGGCAGGGGAGACUGGAAUUCCUGGUGUAGCGGUGAAAUGCGCAGAUAUCAGGAGGAACACCGGUGGCGAAGGCGGGUCUCUGGGCCGAUACUGACGCUGAGGAGCGAAAGCGUGGGGAGCGAACAGG
rnacentral:rRNA from 1 species